GAAAGGUGAUGAGACGGUAGAGUUGUGCUUGACACGCGUCACAUGUAAAGCCCAACAUAUAAUACCCUUAACCAAUUACGCCCCUCACACAGCGCCGAUUACACGUCGAGAGAAAGAUGAGAGAGAUCAGAAAGAGGGAGAGACUGACGGUAACGGCCAUGUUCACCCAACGGCUGGCCUACACCAACGAUUAACAACUGCAGUCACGAUAGAGAGGGAGUCGCGGGCCUGAAUGGCGAAUAAAAAAACGGGCGGUUUGAGAAGUAUGGUACGGCGAUUAGGGUUACCGGAAUGUAUACAAGAUGCGGAGGUGUCACGAUGGUAUACGAGUGUGAGACCUGACGACAGUGGCGAAGGGGAUUUGGUUCAACACAGCGGCGGGGAGAGGACAGUGGGGAUUAGUGUUCCGAUAACCCUGUUGGUACUCCGACGAGCACCCCCAUGCUUGAAUGUCAGUUUUUAAGUCAAAAUAGAAACAACCAUGGUUAGAUACACACCUCCAGUGAGCCUGGGUUGCGACGGUCAACCCUCCGACGAAGCACAUGCGAAGUUCAGCCAUGCACAUGCCGUCCUUGACCCUGAAUCAAUCUCUUGAAUUAGACGAACACUAGAUCGAUAUUCAGUAUCGUCUUCAUCACAACUCAGCGUUCAGUUCACCUUUGAUGAAGCUUAUCAUCUCUUUGAAUCUCAAAUUGCAUUUAGGUAAAAAACGUUUCACAUCUUCGUAACUUUUUUAAUUGUAAUUAUGUGAUUUUGCAUAUAUGGUCCUCGACUUGCAGCCUGCGAAAAUGGGUUCGGUAUGUUGUCUACGGGUUGCCCUAAGCGGUCCUGAAUUGUUUUUGGUUGGCUUUGGUUUUGAUUGUUUGGCAAUGUAUAUUUGACUGGAAAGUCGAACAGAUGAAAGCUGUGAAAAAUGUUUUGCCAUAUGUGACAAAGAUUUCGGUGUCUCUUUUGGUUGGUAAAAUUGUUUGGUUGUUUAAAACAUUGCGGGUGAAAGUGUCAUUCAAGAAUCUUUGUUCAACUAGUAUGUGAUUGGGACACUUACGGGAUCACCGUUUAUUGAGCCAUAACAAGAACGCGAAGAGGAGGAUAGAGCGAUUGAAGAGGUUCAAAAGCUACAGAACGCGGGGGGCAAUUUCCAGCCCGAUAUGACGGCGAAUAUAUUCAAGAAAAGUGGAAGGUUUAUUUGUUGGUACUCCAAGAACCAACACCAGCACUCCCAUGGCUGGUACAACUGGUAAAUUUUCCAAAUCUAAAGAAAGCCGAUGAGGGGAUAACUAUUGAUCACCUGCAUAGGUUAAUUAAUCAGAAGAAUAUACUGGCUUGGAAUAUGAAACGGUUGAUGAAUAUUGUUCGUACAGGUGUAUUGUCGACUUUAGACGACCAAUUGCAGGGUGCGAGGGGGAUUGAAGAUAAGUCUGCGGUACAGAUCACAAACGAAAAGCAGGCAAAAGUUGCAACCAAGCAAAUAUUCUUGAAUGUUGCUAAACAUGGUUCCAACUUAUGUUGAAGGUUUAACUGGGAAUUGUUCUUGCAAGUACUGAUAAGAAGAUGAACAUGAGGACCAUGACAACUGAAAUGCAGGGUUGUUUUGCUUAAGAUGAAAAUGACGACCACGAGGACUGAAUGUGUGCAGAGCUGCGUAUCGAUUACCGAUUUUUAAGCUAUUUUAUAAGAAGUUUUUGACUAAACUAAUUAACUUGAGAAAUGCUAUGGCCUUCUCGGAUUAUACUGGAAAAUUGCAAAUGAAAUAUACAUCAAUUUUGUUUUUAUAUGUUAUGUAUGGAUUGUUGAUUGUA